rnacentral:lncRNA from 1 species
AGGAAAAGAAUUUCGUCUCAAUUGUGCCAACUGUUUAAAUUUUGUUGAAUUGAGCAUUUACCUGGAAGUUUGCUUGUAAAUCACUAAUGAAUGAAAGAAAGAUCAGGGAUACAAAAUGAAUCUUUUAACAGAGAACAUUGAUGUAUUGUAGUUGUUUAUAUGGACUAAUGCAAGUGCCAAUACAACCUUCAUUAGUUACUUUCGAAUCUUUAACUUCAGCGGAAACAUGCUGCUGCUCUGAGCUUUACUUCUGGCUACUAUUGUUGGUUUUGAAUCUUAAUAAUUGUCAGUUGUCAUCAAAUGGAAGUAGUCUGACAAUCUUAUUUGUUUGUAUCUGUUAUCCUGAUUUUGUCAUUGAAAAUGGGAUGAAAGGACAAUGAGAAAGAUAGAAACUGGGAAGCAGAACUAUAUUCAGAUGAAUUCUUU